rnacentral:rRNA from 1 species
GGCACGAACGAUGUCGAUUUGGAGGUUGUGCCCUUGAGGCGUGGCUUCCGGAGCUAACGCGUUAAAUCGACCGCCUGGGGAGUACGGCCGCAAGGUUAAAACUCAAAUGAAUUGACGGGGGCCCGCACAAGCGGUGGAGCAUGUGGUUUAAUUCGAUGCAACGCGAAGAACCUUACCUGGUCUUGACAUCCACAGAACUUUCCAGAGAUGGAUUGGUGCCUUCGGGAACUGUGAGACAGGUGCUGCAUGGCUGUCGUCAGCUCGUGUUGUGAAAUGUUGGGUUAAGUCCCGCAACGAGCGCAACCCUUAUCCUUUGUUGCCAGCGGUUAGGCCGGGAACUCAAAGGAGACUGCCAGUGAUAAACUGGAGGAAGGUGGGGAUGACGUCAAGUCAUCAUGGCCCUUACGACCAGGGCUACACACGUGCUACAAUGGCAUAUACAAAGAGAAGCGACCUCGCGAGAGCAAGCGGACCUCAUAAAGUAUGUCGUAGUCCGGAUUGGAGUCUGCAACUCGACUCCAUGAAGUCGGAAUCGCUAGUAAUCGUAGAUCAGAAUGCUACGGUGAAUACGUUCCCGGGCCUUGUACACACCGCCCGUCACACCAUGGGAGUGGGUUGCAAAAGAAGUAGGUAGCUUAACCUUCGGGAGGGCGCUUACCACUUUGUGAUUCAUGACUGGGGUGAAGUCGUACAGGGAAACCCGUAAAAGGAAGGGGGGGGGGGGGGGGGGGGAGGGGCGGGGGGGGGGGAAAAGGGGGGGGGGGGGCGAGGCAGGAGCGUAGAGAGGGGGGGGGA